UGCGAAGGCAUCUUCAGCAGCUGGAAAGAAUUUCGGUCAGGGAUGAGCUCGCGGCCUAUCAGCUUGUUGGUGAGGUAAUGGCUCACCAAGGCGUCGACGGGUAGCCGGCCUGAGAGGGUGACCGGCCACACUGGGACUGAGACACGGCCCAGACUCCUACGGGAGGCAGCAGUGGGGAAUAUUGCACAAUGGGCGAAAGCCUGAUGCAGCAACGCCGCGUGAGGGAUGACGGCCUUCGGGUUGUAAACCUCUUUUAGCAAGGAAGAAGCGAAAGUGACGGUACUUGCAGAAAAAGCGCCGGCUAACUACGUGCCAGCAGCCGCGGUAAUACGUAGGGCGCAAGCGUUAUCCGGAAUUAUUGGGCGUAAAGAGCUCGUAGGCGGUCUGUCGCGUCUGCUGUGAAAACCCGAGGCUCAACCUCGGGCCUGCAGUGGGUACGGGCAGACCAGAGUGCGGUAGGGGAGAUUGGAAUUCCUGGUGUAGCGGUGGAAUGCGCAGAUAUCAGGAGGAACACCGAUGGCGAAGGCAGAUCUCUGGGCCGUAACUGACGCUGAGGAGCGAAAGGGUGGGGAGCAAACAGGCUUAGAUACCCUGGUAGUCCACCCCGUAAACGUUGGGAACUAGUUGUGGGGUCCAUUCCACGGAUUCCGUGACGCAGCUAACGCAU
rnacentral:rRNA from 1 species